AGCUCCCUUCGAUCCAAUC
rnacentral:miRNA from 1 species